UCAGAUGCGAAAGCGUGGGUAGCAAACAGGAUUAGAUACCCUGGUAGUCCACGCCGUAAACGCUGUCUACUUGGAGGUUGAGGUUUUAGACUUUGGCUUUCGGCGCUAACGCAUUAAGUAGACCGCCUGGGGAGUACGGCCGCAAGGUUAAAACUCAAAUGAAUUGACGGGGGCCCGCACAAGCGGUGGAGCAUGUGGUUUAAUUCGAUGCAACGCGAAGAACCUUACCUACUCUUGACAUCCAGCGAAGCCUUUAGAGAUAGAGGCGUGCCUUCGGGAGCGCUGAGACAGGUGCUGCAUGGCUGUCGUCAGCUCGUGUUGUGAAAUGUUGGGUUAAGUCCCGCAACGAGCGCAACCCUUAUCCUUGUUUGCCAGCACGUAAUGGUGGGAACUCCAGGGAGACUGCCGGUGAUAAACCGGAGGAAGGUGGGGACGACGUCAAGUCAUCAUGGCCCUUACGAGUAGGGCUACACACGUGCUACAAUGGCAGAUACAGAGGGCAGCGAGACAGCGAUGUUUAGCGAAUCCCUUAAAGUUUGUCGUAGUCCGGAUUGGAGUCUGCAACUCGACUCCAUGAAGUCGGAAUCGCUAGUAAUCGUGGAUCAGAAUGCCACGGUGAAUACGUUCCCGGGCCUUGUACACUCCGCCC
rnacentral:rRNA from 1 species